rnacentral:rRNA from 1 species
CAGUAGCCUCGGUAAUACGAAGGGUGCAAGCGUUACUCGGAAUUACUGGGCGUAAAGCGUGCGUAGGUGGUGGUUUAAGUCCGUUGUGAAAGCCCUGGGCUCAACCUGGGAAUUGCAGUGGAUACUGGGUCACUAGAGUGUGGUAGAGGAUGGUGGAAUUCCCGGUGUAGCGGUGAAAUGCGUAGAGAUCGGGAGGAACAUCAGUGGCGAAGGCGGCCAUCUGGGACAACACUGACGCUGAGGCACGAAAGCGUGGGGAGCAAACAGGAUUAGAUACCCCGGUAGUCCCUGUCUCUUAUAC